UAAGAGACAACAGCCCGGUGACAGCAGGAACUUCCCAGAUGGCGAGGCGGCCUUCUUUUGCAUCUGACACGGAUUGGCAUCUGCAGAUAAGUCAAUGGCUAUGACCCACAGAGGGGAUGAUAGUGGGGUGCUGGUCAGGACUCACAGGGAGGGAUUUUUGAGUCUGCUUUGGAGUUGGGGAUGUCCAAGAAGUGGCCCCUUAGGCCACAGAAAAGCCAAGUGUCACUUUUGAUCACAACGCUGAGGUGCUCAGGGCAGAGCAGUCCCGGAGGGUAUCGUGUCAGUUGUCUAUUGUGCAUUCUGUGUGUUUGGCUUUCUCAUGUCUUUUCCCUUAGCCCUUUGAGGGGCCUAUCAGAAACCCUGGCAUCAUUCUUAGCAUCUGCGAUCUCUGCAUUUCUUGGCCUGGCACCAAUGCCAUAGGACUUUUGACUCAGGAGCUCAGACAGGCAUCAGAAUUGCAUUUCUCUUUAGAAGCAUCCAGUCCGAUGUCUUUGCAGGUCUUGUUCUGAGCUGUACGUACUGCUGUGCAUUGCAAGGAUCCAUUAUUGCAGAUUAGGACUCGUAAGAACACGAGGAUAGGUAGAGGAUUCUGACCGUAGGAUUCACAGGCAUCCUUUUUUGCAGUUCUUUGAAGAAAUAAUUCAGUUAGCAUCUUCUUCCUCCAGGGUUCUCUGAGCCUCUUUGGCUCACCAUUGGUCUCACCUCAUUCACUUCAUUUUGCCUUCAUUUUGCAGUCAUUCUUCUUGCCAAGUGAUUUCUGUUCCUGUUGUGUCCCCUUUGUUUGUCUUGUCCUGUCCUGUGUCACGGGUGGGUGCACAUAUUUGUCCCGGAGCCGCUCUGCCCUGCCGCAUUGUCCGGCGCGAUAGGACCAAUCCCGGAGGCUUGAAAUUUGUAGUGCGGGGUGUAGUUGGAUUCUAGAUGGGAUUUGUAGAUGGACACAAGAUGUUUGGAGGUGUGAAGUUAUUCUGCAGCACAUUGACUUUUGUUCUGAAUUUCUUUCAGAUGCAGAUGGAUAAAAUCCAUGGCAGAGCACCCCAUCCCAGGAAGUAAAGCCAUGUAGCAGCAGACAAGGCAAAGUGGGCAAGGCAAUCCAUUUGGAGUAUACGUGACCCUGUCACACACUGGCUGAUGGACUGUGAUCGUUACUCUUUGGAGUCCUGUGGAAGUAUUACAGGACUCGGCGAUGAAGCCUCUGCCUUUUCUAUUUAAAGGUGUCAUCCGGGUGGCCUUUAGCAACGCCUGAGGAGUCGCGGUGAGUCGGGAAUAGGGAGGAGGAGCGGGGGUCCACUCCGGUUUCAGCAAUGCCGCAUCACCUUUUCUCCUCUCAACCGAGGCGAACCCUGCGACGACGGCGUCGGCCUCAGAGCGCAGCCGAAGCGUGCGGCAUUCAUAAGA